ACCGAGAUUCCCCCAGUAGCGGCGAGCGAACGGGGAGGAGCCCAGAGCCUGAAUCAGUGUGUGUGUUAGUGGAAGCGUCUGGAAAGGCGCGCGAUACAGGGUGACAGCCCCGUACACAAAAAUGCACAUACUGUGAGCUCGAUGAGUAGGGCGGGACACGUGGUAUCCUGUCUGAAUAUGGGGGGACCAUCCUCCAAGGCUAAAUACUCCUGACUGACCGAUAGUGAACCAGUACCGUGAGGGAAAGGCGAAAAGAACCCCGGCGAGGGGAGUGAAAAAGAACCUGAAACCGUGUACGUACAAGCAGUGGGAGCCUCUUUUAUGGGGUGACUGCGUACCUUUUGUAUAAUGGGUCAGCGACUUAUAUUCUGUAGCAAGGUUAACCGAAUAGGGGAGCCGAAGGGAAACCGAGUCUUAACUGGGCGUUAAGUUGCAGGGUAUAGACCCGAAACCCGGUGAUCUAGCCAUGGGCAGGUUGAAGGUUGGGUAACACUAACUGGAGGACCGAACCGACUAAUGUUGAAAAAUUAGCGGAUGACUUGUGGCUGGGGGUGAAAGGCCAAUCAAACCGGGAGAUAGCUGGUUCUCCCCGAAAGCUAUUUAGGUAGCGCCUCGUGAAUUCAUCUCCGGGGGUAGAGCACUGUUUCGGCAAGGGGGUCAUCCCGACUUACCAACCCGAUGCAAACUGCGAAUACCGGAGAAUGUUAUCACGGGAGACACACGGCGGGUGCUAACGUCCGUCGUGAAGAGGGAAACAACCCAGACCGCCAGCUAAGGUCCCAAAGUCAUGGUUAAGUGGGAAACGAUGUGGGAAGGCCCAGACAGCCAGGAUGUUGGCUUAGAAGCAGCCAUCAUUUAAAGAAAGCGUAAUAGCUCACUGGUCGAGUCGGCCUGCGCGGAAGAUGUAACGGGGCUAAACCAUGCACCGAAGCUGCGGCAGCGACGCUUAUGCGUUGUUGGGUAGGGGAGCGUUCUGUAAGCCUGCGAAGGUGUGCUGUGAGGCAUGCUGGAGGUAUCAGAAGUGCGAAUGCUGACAUAAGUAACGAUAAAGCGGGUGAAAAGCCCGCUCGCCGGAAGACCAAGGGUUCCUGUCCAACGUUAAUCGGGGCAGGGUGAGUCGACCCCUAAGGCGAGGCCGAAAGGCGUAGUCGAUGGGAAACAGGUUAAUAUUCCUGUACUUGGUGUUACUGCGAAGGGGGGACGGAGAAGGCUAUGUUGGCCGGGCGACGGUUGUCCCGGUUUAAGCGUGUAGGCUGGUUUUCCAGGCAAAUCCGGAAAAUCAAGGCUGAGGCGUGAUGACGAGGCACUACGGUGCUGAAGCAACAAAUGCCCUGCUUCCAGGAAAAGCCUCUAAGCAUCAGGUAACAUCAAAUCGUACCCCAAACCGACACAGGUGGUCAGGUAGAGAAUACCAAGGCGCUUGAGAGAACUCGGGUGAAGGAACUAGGCAAAAUGGUGCCGUAACUUCGGGAGAAGGCACGCUGAUAUGUAGGUGAAGCGACUUGCUCGUGGAGCUGAAAUCAGUCGAAGAUACCAGCUGGCUGCAACUGUUUAUUAAAAACACAGCACUGUGCAAACACGAAAGUGGACGUAUACGGUGUGACGCCUGCCCGGUGCCGGAAGGUUAAUUGAUGGGGUUAGCGGUAACGCGAAGCUCUUGAUCGAAGCCCCGGUAAACGGCGGCCGUAACUAUAACGGUCCUAAGGUAGCGAAAUUCCUUGUCGGGUAAGUUCCGACCUGCACGAAUGGCGUAAUGAUGGCCAGGCUGUCUCCACCCGAGACUCAGUGAAAUUGAACUCGCUGUGAAGAUGCAGUGUACCCGCGGCAAGACGGAAAGACCCCGUGAACCUUUACUAUAGCUUGACACUGAACAUUGAGCCUUGAUGUGUAGGAUAGGUGGGAGGCUUUGAAGUGUGGACGCCAGUCUGCAUGGAGCCGACCUUGAAAUACCACCCUUUAAUGUUUGAUGUUCUAACGUUGGCCCCUGAUCGGGGUUGCGGACAGUGUCUGGUGGGUAGUUUGACUGGGGCGGUCUCCUCCUAAAGAGUAACGGAGGAGCACGAAGGUUGGCUAAUCCUGGUCGGACAUCAGGAGGUUAGUGCAAUGGCAUAAGCCAGCUUGACUGCGAGCGUGACGGCGCGAGCAGGUGCGAAAGCAGGUCAUAGUGAUCCGGUGGUUCUGAAUGGAAGGGCCAUCGCUCAACGGAUAAAAGGUACUCCGGGGAUAACAGGCUGAUACCGCCCAAGAGUUCAUAUCGACGGCGGUGUUUGGCACCUCGAUGUCGGCUCAUCACAUCCUGGGGCUGAAGUAGGUCCCAAGGGUAUGGCUGUUCGCCAUUUAAAGUGGUACGCGAGCUGGGUUUAGAACGUCGUGAGACAGUUCGGUCCCUAUCUGCCGUGGGCGCUGGAGAACUGAGGGGGGCUGCUCCUAGUACGAGAGGACCGGAGUGGACGCAUCACUGGUGUUCGGGUUGUCAUGCCAAUGGCACUGCCCGGUAGCUAAAUGCGGAAGAGAUAAGUGCUGAAAGCAUCUAAGCACGAAACUUGCCCCGAGAUGAGUUCUCCCUGAGACUUUAAGUCUCCUGAAGGAACGUUGAAGACGACGACGUUGAUAGGCCGGGUGUGUAAGCGCAGCGAUGCGUUGAGCUAACCGGUACUAAUGAACCGUGAGG
rnacentral:rRNA from 1 species